CGGAAGUUUAAAGCGGCUGACGAGACGCUGAUCACAACGUUUGUUAAAUAAUUUCUAAUAUCGCACAUUAUCAGAGGGGGAUGUUGGUCCACGCUGAUGACAUCAUGCAGUUUCUGCAGUUCGGAUGGCGGGACACUACCGCCACCAGCCUGUACCGUUGACACCAGGUUGGAUGGGUCCCUGGACUCAUGCUGCUUAUGCCAAGUCUUGACUCUGCCAUCAGCAUGACGCAACAGGAACUGGGAUUCCUUGGACCAGGACUGCUGCUGACUGGAUGUUUUUUUUGUUUGUCGCACCAUUCUGGGGAAACCCUAGACACUGUCGUGAGUGAAAAGCCCAGGAGUUCGGCCAUUUCUGAGAUACUGGAAUCGCCGAUCAUACCACGCUCAAAGUCGCUUAGGUCAUUAGUUUUGCCCAACGUUCAAUUGAACAGUAACUGAAUGCCUCAAUGUCUGUCUACUUGCUUCAUAUAUCAAGCUAUAGCCACGUGACUCACUGUGUCGUAGGAGCGAUCCAUUUUGUGAACAGGGUGGUGUACCUAAUAAACUAACCAGUGAGUGUAUAUAUUCAUGAAAAUAAUGUCAGGUCACAGCUCGCUGCUCUUAAAGCUGGAAUCUGCAGUUGAAACAAUAACAAAGUGGACACCCCACCUCUGUUUCGGUAAAAGCUUAGGGAUGGGCCCAAGAGGUAUGGCCAUAGAGACAUUUUCUAAGAUUUUUACCAAAACAUUUUGUUAUUGUGGGGUGUAACCACUCUCAAACUCAUAGACAGAGCUAUGGAUGCAAAGACUGAUCAUACAUGAUAUCAAAAUGAUAGCUUUAACCAUGUUUUGAGGCUUGUUUACAUUUAUAUUGUUUACAAAGUUUGGAGUAAAACAAGCUUAUAUUUGGGGUUCUAAUGGGCUACAACAGUUGAACUAAGCUCAUGAGAGCCUUCAGAAAGUAAUCACACCCCUAUUAGUUUUCCACAUUUUGCCUGAAUUUAAAAUGGAUUGAAUUUACAUUUUGUGUCACUGAUCUACACAAAAUAAUGUCAACAUGUUGUUUGAAAUGUUUUUUUGAAAUGAAUAAAAAAUGAAUAG